CUGCUGCCUCCCGUAGGAGUCUGGGCCGUGUCUCAGUCCCAGUGUGGCCGUCCGCCCUCUCAGGCCGGCUACUGAUCGUCGCUUUGGUAGGCCGUUACCCUGCCAACUGGCUAAUCAGACGCGGGCCCAUCCUGUACCACCGGAGUUUUCAGGGAAAAGCCAUGCGGCUUCCCCCGUUAUGCGGUAUUAGCACCUAUUUCCUAAGUGUUAUCCCCCUGUACAGGCCAGGUUGCCCACGCGUUACUCACCCGUCCGCCACUCA
rnacentral:rRNA from 1 species